AUUCUUGUGUUUUGCAGCAUGCUCUUAAGAACUACUCACUGGUUUUCGAUGCUGUUUACACACCAAAGAUGACCAGACUCUUGAGGGAUGCUGAAGAGUCUGGAGCAGCUAUUGUUCCUGGAUUGGAGAUGUUCAUCAGGCAAAUAUAUGAACAUUAUGAGGGGUUCACUGGGCUGCCUGCACCCAAGGAACGUAUUAGGAAGAUUUUGGCAGGUAACUAAUGAUGUGCUGGCUUAUCCUAAUUGUUCUCAAUUGGCUCUUUUCCUUCAAUUCCCUCCAUUCGGUAAGAUUUUUUAUCUUCCUAUUGUAACGGUCAAGAACCAUGUUUGAGAAAUCGAGGACCUAUUUGA